AUUGAACGCUGGCGGCAGGCCUAACACAUGCAAGUCGAACGAGUGGCGGACGGGUGAGUAAUGUCUGGGAAACUGCCUGAUGGAGGGGGAUAACUACUGGAAACGGUAGCUAAUACCGCAUACCAUCGGAUGUGCCCAGAUGGGAUUAGCUAGUAGGUGGGGUAACGGCUCACCUAGGCGACGAUCCCUCGCUGGUCGGGGAGGAUGACCAUCCACACUGGAACUGAGCAACGGUCAAGACUCCGACGGGAGGCAGCAGUGGGGAAUAUUGCACAAGGGGCGCAAGCCUGAUGCAGCCAUGCCGCGUGUAUGAAGAAGGCCUUCGGGUUUUAAAGUACUUUCAGCGGGGAGGCGUUACCCGCAGAAGAAGCACCGGCUAACUCCGUGCCAGCAGCCGCGGUAAUUC
rnacentral:rRNA from 1 species